rnacentral:lncRNA from 1 species
UAAUGCCCUCAAAGGAAGUAACAUUGAAAUAAUUCUUGAUGUCCCAAAUCAAGAUCUUGAAUCCCUAGCCAAUCCUUCAAAUGCCAAUGGUUGGGUUCAAGAUAAUAUAAGAAAUCAUUUUCCCGAUGUUAAAUUCAAAUAUAUAGCCGUUGGAAAUGAAGUUGAUCCUGGUAGAGAGAGUGGUAAAUAUGCACGAUUUGUUGGUCCAGCAAUGGAAAAUAUUUACAACGCGUUAUCAUCAGCAGGGUUGCAAAAAUCAAAUCAAGGUCUCAACAUCGACAUAUUCAGGGCUCUUAACCAACACCUACCCACCUAGAGAUAGCAUUUUUCGCGAAGAAUAUAAAAGUUUCAUUAAUCCUAUAAUUGGAUUUCUAGCACGACAUAAUCUUCCACUCUUAGCCAAUAUUUACCCUUAUUUUGCCCAUAUUGAUAACACUAACGCCGUUCCUCUUUCUUAUGCACUUUUCAAUCAACAAGGGAGAAAUGAUGCAGGAUAUCAAUAUCUUUUCGAUGCCCUUGUGGAUUCAAUGUAUUUUGCUACGGAGAAACUUGGAGGACAAAAUAUUGAAAUUAUUGUAUCGGAAAGUGGUUGGCCUUCUGAGGGACACCCUUCAGCAACUCUGGAAAACGCGAGGACUUAUUAUACGAAUUUGAUUAAUCACGUGAAAGGAGGGACUGGAACACCAAAGAAACCUGGAAAGACCAUAGAAACUUAUUUAUUCGCCAUGUUUGACGAAAAUAGAAAGGAUGGUAAACCAAGUGAGCAACAUUUUGGACUCUUUUAUCCUGAUAAGGGAGAGGCAAGUGAGAAACAUUUUGGACUCUUUAAUCCUGAUCAGAGGCCAAAAUAUCAACUCAAUUUUAAUUAAUGAUAGCAUAUAUUAUAAUUAAUAUAUAGAUAGUUUAUAUUAUAUAUGAAUAAUAAGGAGAAAUGGUAUGUUUUAUCUUUCAAUAAAUGAUAGUAUAUAUAUUUAAUUAAUAUGUAGUGAGAAAAUGUAUGGCCUCUUGUGUGUUCCUUGAUAUCAAAAAUUAAUAUUAAGUAUUUUUAAUAAGAUAUGUAUUUUAAUUGAAAGGAUGUGUCCUUUCAUUCUUUGGUUAUUUUAAAUCCAAUUUUUGAAGAUUGCAACGUAACUUUUACAGAGUAUCUUUCUCUACAAUAUUCCUCAAAGAAUUCUUUUAUUCUCCAAAAAGGACCAAGUUCAUAUUUUCAAAACUUCAUCGUUGUUUUCACAUAAAUUUUGUGUUCUUGGUAUAUAAUUUUUAACUCUCCGUUUCUAUUAGUCUGUCUGAUUUUGAUUUGAAAUAAAGUGUAAGAAAGUAAAAAAAAAAAUUGAAUUUUAUGAAUUAAAGUAUGUCGAUAUCAGCACAUCCUUUAAUUUUGUGAUCUUAAACAUGUUAUAUGGAAAGUUAAAAUUAAAGAGUUGCCAAAAAAAGAAAAGAAACACCCAACAAGUACCUGACCAUGCCAAGUUUAUGUCGAAUGUCAGAGGCGUAUCAAGGAGGGGGUCACCAGGUUCACGUGAACCCAUGCUCCCCUCCUUAAAUCUUAUGUAGUAGUGUUAUAUUUUUAAAAAAAAAUAUUUAAAUAUAGAUAUGUGAACCCAUAGUUGAAGUACAUACCGUGCGAUUAUGAUUGGGUGCACCUCUCUAAGUGAGGUUAGAAAUUUGAAUAUUUUAUUUAGUCACGUUUUAUUUUCCUUUCUAAAAUUGGAUAACACCUCUCUAAGUGGUUUGGAUAGGUAAAUAUAAUUUUGGACCUAUAAUUUUAAAAUUUUAAUUAUUUUUAGUGAUAAGAACCUAAAUGUUAAACCGAUCAAAUUUAUAUAUUAGAUCCAUCUUUUCGUAAUAGUGCAUCCAUCAUCUCAAAAUCCUGAAUACGCGCUUUCAAUCUUUUAAUUCUUUUUUAAACGAACUAAAAAUAAAAUAAAUUAAUUAAAAUAAGUGAAGUAUAAAUAUAUUUUCUUCACGAUGAUAGUUAUAUUAGACAUGCAAAAUUGCUCAAUUUCACUUAAUAUAAAAUAAUUUGACCUUUUCCUUGUAUUGAAUAGAAUCAGCCAUUAUUCUCGUAUCGUAAAAUACUAAAAUUCAUUGACUCCAUCCCAUUACUAAAUUUGAGCUUUCUACGCAUCUUCAAAAUUUAAGGACGAUGGGUGCACUACUAAAUGUGGAUGUGUGUUAUGUUAAAUAUUGACACCUCGGGUUAGUUUGGUUUUAACUAAAAAAAGUCAACUCGAGAUCAAAUCAACCCGACAUUAUAUAUAUAAUUUUUAAAAUUUAUUUUAUACAUAAAAGUAUAUACUUCGAUGUAAUUUCUAAAUAUUACUUAUAAGUUUUUAUAAUUUUUAUCUUUUAAUAUAUUUUUUCAAGUCUUUUGAGACUUAAAUUUUUUGAAUGGUCCAACAAAUGUUAUAGUCCAUAGAUAUUAGUAACUCUAAUAAAGCUCAAUUCGAAGUCAAAUCAAUACUAUGCUAACAAAAUAAAUUAACUCAACACUAAGAAUUACAAUAAUGUUGAAUAUUUAUUCUUUAGUUUGACAUUGGUUUAGACAUUUAAAAUACAUAAUCUAAUUUUAAUUUUUCUUUAAUGUUUAAUCAUGUAACUAAUACGUAUUAGACUUAUUUUAGCAUGAUUUAGUACUUUUAAAUUAUGAUCAUUUUCAUUAUGACUUUGCAAUAUUUAUUUUAUAUGAUGAUUUCAUUAUUAUUUUUUAUUGAAUAUUUUCAUGUCAUCACUCAUCUCAUAUUUUGUGCUAUUUUCUUAAGAAACACCAUAGAUAGUUGUAUUUUGGUUGGACUAAAGAAAUAUUUGGAGCACAAGUUAAUUAUAUGUUUGUAUGCAUACUUUACCGGAAAAAUUCAAAAACUUGAACAAAUUUGAGGUUUAUUAGUUUGGUUUUAUUUAAAAAUUUAAAAAUUUAAAAAUUCGACACAAUGGUUUUAGUUUGUUAUUUGAAAAACCCAAACCAAUCCGAGGUUGGAAAAUUCAAAAAAAACCCGAAUUUUAUUAGCUUGGUUUGGUUUAUAAAUUUAAAAUAUUUUACACAAAUGACUUGAUUUGAUAUUUAAAAAACCCGAACCAACCCGAUCAUAUAUACCCCUAAUUACGACAAUCACAAAUUCUAUAUAAAAUAACUAUUGGGUUCACAAAAAAAUAAAUUGCUAACAAUUAAAUGAGUAGACUUCACAUGUCCAUUUUCUUUAACAAGAAAAAGUACAAGUUUACCCUUAAACUAUUGAGUAUAGUUUAAAAUCAACCAUUUUUUUCUCAUUUUUUUCCCAUAACCUACUCUAGAUUAGAAAUUUCUUCAUCCCCAUAAGAUACGUUUAUAUGACUAAAUUUCACUAUCAAUUGAACUUCUUCUUAGGGUAAACUUGACUUAGUUUUUUUUUCCACUCUGCUUUUCUUCUUUUUGUCUAUAUAAGAAGUAAUUGGAUGUUUCCUUGACACACAAUUUUACCUCAAAUAUUUCUUAGUCUUCUCAAUUCCAAUUUUGCUAUGUCUUUUCUAAGUUUUCUUGUAGCUGCCCUUUUACUUGUUGGGCUGUUAAUCCAAAUGACAGGUCUCUCUCUCUUACAUACAAACUAAUAAUGUAUUUUUACGCUAUAUAUUAAGAGUAACGUAUUAUAAUAUCGUAGCAGAUAAUCUAUUUUAUUUACUAAUUAAGUUAUUGAUCUCAAUUACUGUAAAUAGUUAAGGGUAUUUAAUCUAGGUGACCUAAUAGUAUAACAAUUCUUCCGAUGUUGGUGUAAAUGAGUUAAAAAUUCUAUUAAAAAGCACUUCAUAUUUUUCAAAAUUAGGAGGGUCCUAUUGGUGAGGACAUAAAGAAUGAUAAAUCUACCUAACUAAGCAAACAUAAUUACGGUAUAUACUUAAUUAAGCGGUAUUUUAGUUUUUUUUUUAUCUAACAUAGUUAUACUUAAAAUUUUAUAACUAAUCACUUCUCUCUUUUCCUCUUUUGCUCGCCACUCUCCUCCCUCUUCCUCUCCUCUCACAUUUUUUUUCGCCCUCUCUCUCUACCUCUCUACAAUUCAUUGCAUGAAUCUUUCUUCUUAUCCUUAUAUGUUUCUUAUAUAUCAAUACAAAACUCAAUUAAGCUUUACCUGAAUUAUUAAUUUUUAUCUACAUGUGCUUCUUGAUCUUCAAUAUUUUCUAUGUGACUGCUAAUUGUUGAUUCAUUUUUAUUGGAUUUAACGCUGGUAUAUCAAAAAUUCUCAUUAUGGGUUCUUGAUUUGUUGUUCUAUGUUUGAAUCUCUUAUUCUUCUUAGAUUGGUACAACCAAUUUUAUAUAUGUAUGAGAAAAAAUGAAACAGUUAUUUUCAAAGUGUAGCUUCUUCGAUUGAUACAACCAAUUAUAUAUAUCAGGAAAAAUGAAACAAUUAUUAUCAACGUGUAUCUUCUUUAAUAGAUUCAUAAUGAUACAUCCAAUUGAUCUACGUAUCAGAAAACAAUAUAAAAAUUGAUAUAGCUAUUAUUUGACUAGAUUUUUGUACAUAUAAAAAAUGAAUACAACUAUUAUACAAAAAUACUGUAUUUAUAUAUUUAUUUUAGGGAUGAUAUUCAAACUUUGUAUCAAUAUUUUUUUCAUUUGUAUAUCACAAUAAAUUGAUACAGAUUAUAUCUGUGUAUUUAUUUUAAGGGUGAUAUAAUAUAUAUAUAUGUCUAUCUAUAUUUCAAUUUCAAAACUAAUAUGUGCAUUUGUGUAGCUAUGUGCAAGAUUGAGAGAGGAGAAAUGACAGCGAGAUUUGGGAAAGAGAGAGAGAAAGAGAGGAGAUUGUGUAUAUGUGUAUCUUAGUUUCAAUUAAGAUAUACAAGUUGUUUCUAAGAUACAACAUGCUUGCCUCUCUCCUCUAUCUCUCUUGAUCUCGCUCGACUCUCUCUUCUAUCUUUCUUUGUCCCGCUCUCCUCUUUCCUCUCUCUAAAAUUGUUGUUAUGAAUUGUGAAUAGAUAAACAAUACUAUUUAUAAUUAUAGUCCAAACUAUAACUAUUUAUCAUUAUAAUGUAGGAGCACAACCUAUUGGAGUAUGCUAUGGAAAAUUUGCAAACAAUUUGCCAUCAGAUCAAGAUGUCAAAAACCUAUACAAUUCUAAUGGCAUUAAAAAGAUGAGAAUUUACUAUCCAGACACAAAUGUCUUCAAUGCUCUCAAAGGAAGUGACAUUGAAAUAAUUCUUGAUGUCCCAAAUCAAGAUCUUGAAGCCCUAGCCAAACCUUCAAGUGCCAAUGGUUGGGUUCAAGAUAAUAUAAUAAGUAAUUUUCCAGAUGUUAAAUUCAAAUAUAUAGCCGUUGGAAAUGAAGUUGAUCCCGGUACAAAUACCGGUCAAUAUACACAAUUUGUUGGUCCAGCAAUGGAAAAUGUUUACAACGCGUUAACAUUAGCAGGAUUGCAUGAUCAAAUUAAGGUCUCAACCGCGACAUAUUCAGGGCUCUUAACAAACACCUACCCACCAAGUGCUAGUAUUUUUCACGAAGAAUACAAAAGCUUCAUUAAUCCCAUAAUCGAAUUUCUAGCACGAAAUAACCUCCCACUCUUAGCCAAUAUUUACCCUUAUUUUGGCUAUAUUUAUAACACUAACGACGUUCCUCUUUCUUAGGCACUUUUCAACGAUCAAGGGACUAAUUCCGCGGGAUAUCAAAAUAUUUUUGAUGCCCUUUUGGAUUCAAUGUAUUUUGCUAUGGAGAAAGUUGGAGGACAAAAUAUUGAGAUCAUUGUAUCGGAAAGUGGUUGGCCUUCUGAGGGACAUCCUGCAGCAACUAUGGAAAAUGCACAGACUUAUUAUACGAAUUUGAUUAAUCAUGUGAAAGGAGGGGCUGGAACACCAAAGAAACCUGGAAGGACCAUAGAAAUUAUUUAUUCGCCAUGUUUGAUGAAAAUGAAAAGAAGGGAGAUGCAAGUGAGCAACAUUUUGGACUCUUUAAUUCUGAUCAGAGGCCAAAAUAUCAACUCAAUUUUAAUUUAUGAUAGCGUAUUAUAAUUAAUAUAUAGAUAUUUUAUAUUAUAUAUGAAUGAUAAGGAGAAAUGGUAUGUUUUUAUCUUUCAAUAAAUGAUAGUAUAUAUAUUUAAUUAAUAUGUAGUGAGAAAAUGUAUGGCCUCUUGUAUGUUCCUUGAUAUCAAAAAUUAAUAUUAAGUAUUUUUAAUAAGAUAUGUAUUUUAAUUGAAAGGAUGUGUCCUUUCAUUCUUUGGUUAUUUUUAAAAUCCAAUUUUUGAAGAUUGCAACGUAACUUUUACAGAGUAUCUUUCUCUACAAUAUUCCUCAAAUAAUUCUUUUAUUCUCCAAAAAGAUCUAGUUAAUAUUUUCAAAAUUUCAUCUUUGUGUUCAUAUAAAUUUUGUGUUCUUGGUAUAUAUUUUCCAACACUCUCCGUUUCAAUUUGUUCUGUCUGAUUUUGAUUUGAUAUGGAGUUUAAGAAAAUAAAGAAAACUUUUGAAUUUUGUGAAUUAAAGGUAUGUAGAUACCAACCUGUCUUUUAAUCUUGUGAUCUUAAACAUGUUAUAUGGAAAGUUAAAAUUAAAGAAUUGCCAAACAAAAAAAAAGAAACACCCAAAAGUACCUUAGCAUGCCAAUUGCCAAGUUUAUGCCUUCAAUCUUUUAAUUCUUUUUUUAAAACGGACUAAAAAUAAAAAUAAAAUAAAUAAAUUGAAACAAGUAGAAUAUAAAUAUAUUUUUUAAGAAUAAUAGUUAUAUUAGACAUGCAAAAUAGCUCAAUUUCACUUAAUAUAAAAUAAUUUGACUUUUUCCUUGUAUUGAAUGGAAUCAGCCAUUAUUCUCAUAUCGUAAAAUUCACUGACUCCAUCACAUUAGUAAAUUUGAACUUUCUACGCAUUUUUCAGGAUUUGAAGGCAAUGGAUGCACUAUUAAAUGUGGAUGUGUGUUAUGUUAAAUAUCGACACCUCAACAUAAAAAAUUAUUAAACAAAUAUAAAAUUGAAUGUAUCAGUUAAUAUAAAUUAAACAAAAAUGUAAUAUCGUUCAAUGGUAAUUUGAUGAUUUCGACCCUCAGUGUAUUUGAAGUUGCUAGUUCGAGUCUGACUUGACUUUCUUAUAUGUCAUUUGAAGCAUAGGCAUUGGACCAGUGCACCAAAUGAGCUUUUAUGUUUAAGAGAGCACAAUUAAAUAUAUGGUCCUUAUUUAGGUAUAUACAUAAGUUUUUCUGAAAUUAAUUUCUGCAAAAGGUCCCCCUCCCUCAAACGUGGGUCUAUCUAUGGUUGAACAUCUUGACAACUCCCUAGAUCCAUCCCUGUUGAUUUAUUUUUCUUCUAGAUUGUCAUCACAAAUUUCUUUCAAGAUAAAUUUUAGAAUUUGUAGUUUAUGAAUGUUAAUUACAACAAUCACAAAUUCUAUAUACAAUAACUAUUACACAAAAAAAUUAAUCUCUUAAAAUUAAAUGAGUAGACUUCACAUGUCCAUUUUCUUUGAGAAGAAAAAGUACAAGUUUACCCUUUAACUAUUGAGUAUAGUUUAAAAUCAACCAUUAAAUGUAAUCAACCAUUUUUUUCUCAUUUUUUUUCCAUCACCUACUUUAGAUUGGAAAUUUCUUCACCCCAUUAGGUACGUUUAUAUGACUUGAUUGUUCUACAUGACUAAAUUUCACUAUUAUUUGAACUUCUUCUUAGGGUAAACUUGACUUAGUCUUUUUUUUCCACACUACCUUUCUUAUUUGUCUAUAUAAGAAAUAAUUUGAUGUUUCCUUAACACACAAUUUCACCUCAAAUAUUUCUUACUCUUCUCAAUUCCAAUUUUGCUAUGUCUUUUCUAAGUUUUCUUAGAGCUUCCCUUUUACUUGUUGGGCUGUUAAUCCAAAUGACAGGUCUCUCUCUCUUACAUACUCACUAAUAAUGUAUUGUUACACUAUAUAUUAACAUAUUAUAAUAUAGUAGCAGAUUAUCUAUCUUAUUUACUAGGCUAUUGAUCUUAGUUACUAUAAAUAUUUAGGGGUAUUUACGUCUAGGUGAUCUGAUAGUAUAAGAAUUCUUUCAAUAUUGAUGUAAAUGAGUUAAAAUUUCUAGUUGAAAAGCAGUUCAUAUUUUUCAAAAUUAGGAGGGUCCUAUUGGUGAGGACAUAAAGGAUGAUAAAUCCACAUAACUAACCAAGCAUAACUAUUCUAUAUACAUGAUCAAGUGAUACUUUAAUUUUUUUUUAUCUAAUCUCUUCUUCCUUUUCAUCUUUUGCUCGCCACUCUCCUCCCUCUCUCUCCCUCCUACUCUCCUCUCACAUUUUUUUCUCGCCCUCUCUCUCUCUCCCUCUCUACAUUUCAUUGCAUGAAUUUUUCUUCUUCUUUCUUAUAUUAAAAUUAAUACAAAACUCCAUUAAGCUUUACCUGAAUUAUUAAUUUUUAUCUACAUGUACUUCUUGAUCUUCAAUAUUUUCUAGGUGGCUGCUAAUUGUUGAUUCAUUUUUAUUGGAUUAAUGCCGGUAUAUCAAAAAUUCCCAUUAUGGGUUCUUGAUUUGUUGUUCAAUAUUUAAAUAUUCUAUUCUUCUUAGAUUGAUACAAUCAAUUGUAUAUAUGUAUCAGGAAAAAUGAUACAGUUAUUAUCAAAGUGUAUCUUCUUUAAAAAUGAAACAAUUGUUAUCAAAGUGUAUCUUCUGUAAUUGAUAGAUAAUGAUACAUCCAAUUGAUCUAGGUAUAAAAAUAAUUUAUAAAAAUUAAUAUACUUGUUAUCUGACUAGAUUUUUGUAAUACAAAAAAAAUCUAAUACAACUAUUACCUGAAAAGUAAUGUAUUUAUAUAUUAUUUUAGGGGUUAAGGGUGAUAUUCAAACAUUAUAUCAAUAUAUUUUUUUCAUUUGUAUAUCACAAUAAAUCAAUACAGAUUGUAUCAUGUAUUUAUUUUAGGGGUGACACAAUAUGUAUAUGUCUAUCUAUAUUUCAAUUCAAAACUAAUAUGUGCAUUUGUGUGUGAGAUUGAGAGAGGAGAAAUGACAGCGAGAUUUGGGGGAGAGAGAGAAAGAGAGAAGAUUGUGUAUAUGUGUAUCUUAGUUUCAAUUAAGAUAUACAAGUGAUUUCUAAGAUACAACAUGCUUGCCUCUCUCUUCUGUCUCUCAUGAACUCGCUCGUCUCUCUCUUCUAUCUCUCUGUAUCCCGCGCUCCUCUUUCCUCUCUCUAAAAUUGUUGUUAUGAAUUGUGAAUAGAUAAACUAUACUAGUUAUAGUUAUAGUCCGAACUAUAACUAUUUGUCAUUAUAAUGUAGGAGCACAACUUAUUGGAGUAUGCUAUGGAAAAAUUGCCAACAAUUUACCAUCAGAUCAAGAUGUCAAAAACCUAUACAAUUCUAAUGGCAUUAAAAGAUGAGAAUUUACUAUCCAGACACAAAUGUCUUCAAUGCUCUCAAAGGAAGUGACAUUGAAAUAAUUCUUGAUGUCCCAAAUCAAGAUCUUGAAGCCCUAGCCAAUCCAUCAAGUGCCAAUAGUUGGGUUCAAGAUAAUAUAAUAAGUAAUUUUCCAGAUGUUAAAUUCAAAUAUAUAGCCGUUGGAAAUGAAAUUGAUCCCGGUACAAAUACCGGUCAAUAUACACAAUUUGUUGGUCCAACAAUGGAAAAUGUUUACAACGCGUUAACAUCAGCAGGAUUGCAAGAUCAAAUUAAGGUCUCAACCGCAACAUAUUUAGGACUAUUAACAAACACCUACCCACCAAGUGAUAGUAUUUUUCACGAAGAAUACAAAAGUUUCAUUAAUCCCAUAAUCGAAUUUCUAGCACGAAAUAACCUCCCACUCUUAGCCAAUAUAUACCCUUAUUUUGGCCAUAUAGAUAACACUAACGACGUUCCUCUUUCUUAUGCACUUUUCAACGAUCAAGGGACUAAUUCUGCGGGAUAUCAAAAUCUUUUUGAUGCCCUUUUGGAUUCAAUGUAUUUUGCUACGGAGAAACUUGGAGGACAAAAUAUUGAGAUCAUUGUAUCGGAAAGUGGUUGGCCUUCUGAGGGACACCCUGCAGCAACUAUGGAAAAUGCACAAACUUAUUAUACGAAUUUGAUUAAUCAUGUGAAAGGAGGGGCUGGAACACCAAAGAAACCUGGAAGUACGAUAGAAACUUAUUUAUUCGCCAUGUUUGAUGAAAAUCAAAAGGAUGGACAACCAAGUGAGCAACAUUUUGGACUUUUUUAUCCUGAUCAGAGGCCAAAGUAUCAACUCAAUUUCAAUUGAUGAUACUAUAUUAUAAUUAAUAUAUAGUGCUAUGAAUAAUAAGGAAAAAUUUGUGUCUUUCUCCUCAGUAAAAUGAUAGCAUAUAUCUUAUAAUUAAUAUGUGUUGACAAAUGUACGGCCUCCUUGUGUUUCCUUGAUAUGAAUAUAUUUAUGUUAUAUAUACUUAGAAAUACAUUUUAAAGAAAUGCAUGCAAAUUAUGAUAACAUCGAUAUGUCUUUAUGU